AUUGAACGCUGGCGGAAUGCUUUACACAUGCAAGUCGAACGGCAGCACGGGUGCUUGCACCUGGUGGCGAGUGGCGAACGGGUGAGUAAUGCACCGGAACGUAUCCAAUAAUGGGGGAUAACGCACCGAAAGGUGUGCUAAUACCGCAUACGCCCUGAGGGGGAAAGCGGGGGAUCGUAAGACCUCGCGUUAAUGGAGCGGCCGAUGCCGGAUUAGCUAGUUGGUGAGGUAAAGGCUCACCAAGGCGACGAUCCGUAGCUGGUCCU
rnacentral:rRNA from 1 species